CAGUCGCCGCGGUAAUACGUAGGGUGCGAGCGUUAAUCGGAAUUACUGGGCGUAAAGCGUGCGCAGGCGGUUGUGUAAGACAGGUGUGAAAUCCCCGGGCUUAACCUGGGAAUGGCAGUGGAUACUGGCUCGCUAGAGUGUGUCAGAGGAUGGUGGAAUUCCGCGUGUAGCAGUGAAAUGCGUAGAUAUGCGGAGGAACACCGAUGGCGAAGGCAGCCCCCUGGGCCAACACUGACGCUCAUGCACGAAAGCGUGGGGAGCAAACAGGAUUAGAUACCCCUGUAGUCCCUGUCUCUUACAC
rnacentral:rRNA from 1 species